rnacentral:tRNA from 1 species
AGUCCUUGGGAGGAACGUUUUCCCCCUUUUCUGGUUUACAAGACCAAGGUAAUGUGCG